GACGAACGCUGGCGGCGUGCUUAACACAUGCAAGUCGAACGGAAAGGCCCUGCUUUUGUGGGGUGCUCGAGAGGCGAACGGGUGAGUAACACGUGAGUAACAUGCCCUUGACUUUGGGAUAACUUCAGGAAACUGGGGCUAAAACCGGAUAGGAGCUCCUGCUGCACGGGGGGGGUUGGAAAGUGUCGGCGGUUGGGGAUGGACUCGCGGCUUAUCAGCUAGUUGGUGGGGUAGUGGCUUACCAAGGCUUUGACGGGUAGCCGGCAUGGGAGCGUGACCGGCCACCAUGGUCCUGCGGGACGCCCCAGACGCCUACGUUCGGCAACAGGGGGGAAUAUUGCACAAUGGGCGGAAGCCUGAUGCAGCAACGCCGCGUGCGUGAUGACGGCCUUCGGGUUGUAAACCGCUUUCGCCUGAGACGAAGCGUGAGUGACGGUACUGGGUAAAGAAGCACCGGCUAACUACGUG
rnacentral:rRNA from 1 species